rnacentral:rRNA from 1 species
GGGGAGUAUUGCGCAAUGGGGGAAACCCUGACGCAGCAACGCCGCGUGCGGGAUGAAGGCCUUCGGGUUGUAAACCGCUUUCAGUAGGGACGAAGGGUUGCUGACGGUACCUGCCGUAGCAGCUCCGGCUAUCUCCGUGCCAGCAGCCGCGGUGAUACGUAGGGUGCGAGCGUUGUCCGGAAUUAUUGGGCGUAAAGAACUUGUAGGCGGUCCGUCACGUCGGAAGUGAAAACUCAGGGCUUAACCCUGAGCCUGCUUUCGAUACGGGCAGACUUGAGGGAUGUAGGGGAGAACGGAAUUCCUGGUGGAGCGGUGGAAUGCGCAGAUAUCAGGAGGAACAACAGUGGCGAAGGCGGUUCUCUGGACAUUUCCUGACGCUGAGAAGCGACAGCGUGGGGAGCAAACA